UGGUGGAGCGAUUUGUCUGGUUAAUUCCGAUAACGAACGAGACUCUGGCCUAUUAAAUAGUUCGCCGAUUCCGAUCUGUCGGCGUUAACUCCUUAGAGGGACAAGUGGCUUUUAGCCACGCGAGAUUGAGCAAUAACA
rnacentral:rRNA from 1 species